AGCGAACGCUGGCGGCAGGCUUAACACAUGCAAGUCGAGCGGGCACUUUCGGGUGUCAGCGGCGGACGGGUGAGUAACGCGUGGGAACGUGCCCUCUGGUUCGGAAUAACUCAGGGAAACUUGAGCUAAUACCGGAUACGCCCUUUUGGGGAAAGGCUUGCUGCCGGAGGAUCGGCCCGCGUCUGAUUAGCUAGUUGGUGAGGUAACGGCUCACCAAGGCGACGAUCAGUAGCUGGUCUGAGAGGAUGAUCAGCCACACUGGGACUGGGACACGGCCCAGACUCCUACGGGAGGCAGCAGUGGGGGAUAUUGGACAAUGGGCGCAAGCCUGAUCCAGCCAUGCCGCGUGAGUGAUGAAGGCCUUAGGGUUGUAAAGCUCUUUUAUCCGGGACGAUAAUGACGGUACCGGAGGAAUAAGCCCCGGCUAACUUCGUG
rnacentral:rRNA from 1 species